CGGUGGGCAGGCCUGCCCAGUACUGACAAUUUCCGCCCGGCACUGUAGCUGAAAAACAGACUGCCAAUACCACAAAUAGUUCCAAUGGGAAGAGGUUGAAUCAAGGAAGAGGCUGAGUGAGAAGAAUUCAGAGGACUUGAAGCAUAUGGAUAAAAGACGAAGAGACAACCAGGUUGCGUAGAGAACCCUACAGAAGUACUUUCGACGAGCAGUAGCAUCUAGACAAACA